CGCGUAGGCGGGAUGGCAAGUCGGUCGUGAAAUCCCUCGGCUCAACUGAGGUGCGUCGAUCGAUACUGCCGUUCUUGAGGGUUGCAGAGGAGACUGGAACUCCCGGUGUAGCGGUGAAAUGUGUAGAGAUCGGGAGGAACACCGGUGGCGAAGGCGGGUCUCUGGGCAACUCCUGACGCUGAGGCGCGAAAGCGUGGGGAGCAAACG
rnacentral:rRNA from 1 species